ACGAUGGGUGCCAGGAAUGUAUCUCUGGAUUCUACGGUGACAACUGCGAGGAUGUUUGCCCAACGAAUUGUAGGCCAGACAGGUGUGACAAAGACAAUGGAUGCUUGGCAUGUAAUAAGGGAUUCUACGGUGCUACAUGCCAGGAUGUUUGUUCGAACGGGUGCAUUAAUGGAGAAUGCAAUGUAAAUGGAGAAUGUACGUGCAAGACGGGUUACUUUGGAGGUGGAUGCAAUGAAG